UACGGAGGAUCCGAGCGUUAUCCGGAUUUAUUGGGUUUAAAGGGUGCGCAGGCGGGAGACUAAGUCGGCGGUGAAAUUUUGCAGCUCAACUGUAAAAGUGCCUUCGAAACUGGUUUCCUUGAGUGUAGAUGAAGUAGGCGGAAUUUGUGGUGUAGCGGUGAAAUGCAUAGAUAUCACGAGGAACUCCGAUUGCACAGGCAGCUUACUAAACUACUACUGACGCUCAGGCACGAAGGCGUGGGGAUCAAACAGGAUUAGAUACCCCUGUA
rnacentral:rRNA from 1 species